AACGUACAAUAACCACAACAUUUACUAUGGGUUUACCACGUUAACCGUAGUUUUACUGUGGUAUUUGUAGUUACUAACGCACAAUAACCACAACAUUUACUAUGGGUUUACCACGUUAACCGUAGUUUUACUCUGGUAUUUGUAGUUACUAACACACAAUAACCACAACACUUACCAGGAUUUUACCACAGUAACUGUGUUUUUACUCUACACUAUUUGUAAAACACAGUAACCACUAAGUUUGCCACGCCUUUAAUACCUUUUUGUGAAGUAAUUGUAAUUCAGUGUUUUUUCUGUCUUUCAGUUACGUCGGAUUACAUACUCCACAAGAACCUGUAAUCCAGCAGCUCUUUAAAGAAGCCAUCUCUUGUAAAAUCUCUCUCUCUCUCUCUCUCUCUCUCUCUCUCUCUCUCUCUCUCUCUGCUAGAAUUAACAGGGGACUUCAACUCCACGCUUCCAAUGCUGAUUUUGAAGAAGCUGUCAAGGGGGCUGAACAAGUCCUUUAAAGGUUCAACCCUUCACAGGUAAUGUAGAAGACUUUUAGUUAUAACUGAUUUGCUUUAAUGAACGCAUCCUUAUAUUAUGUGUUAAUCAGAUAUUUUGGUCACCGAUCAUUUUAACACACUGUCUCAACAUGUUUAUUUGAGACUUGAGAUUUGAACUUGACCAUCCUGUGCAUUUAUGAAGAAGACCAAAAGCUGCAAAGGCAAACACUUCCAAUGGAUUUCUCACAGAUUACUUAAUCAUUCUUCAUCAGCUCUUCACAAUAUCAGCCCAUUCAAAAGCUUCCAGAUCUUCCUCUCUUGUGUGACACAUCUGUUCUCAGCCCUUUACUGCCAAUCUCCAGUCUUAGCAUUUCUGCUUGUAUUAAUUUCUCCUCUACAGUCAUCACUCCGAUGUCUACUAUAAGCACUCCCGUCACUCUCUCUACAUAUAUAUAUAUAUAUAUAUAUAUUAGUAUAUAUACAUAGUAAUAAUUAUUAUCAUCCAUUUAUUUGUUUUGCAUUUAUUCACAAUAGAAGAAAACAAUGAUUACAGGAUAUAUAUUUUUAAAGGUGAUAAUUGUAAAAUAUUGAAGCAUUUUUCUAAAUCAUUUUUGCCUAUUUGUUUGAUAAAGGGAAGAAAAUAAAAUAUUUUCAACUGUAGCCUUGAUUAUUCUUUGGCAUCUUUUGUCAGGAUUUCUGUAAACAAAUUCUCUUUUAAUUUUUGAAUAUUAAACUUGUUUUUUGAAGGGAGUUUCUGUUGCAAUUUUGUUUGUUUGUUUGUUUUCGCUUAGUUACCUCUAUGCAAUUUUUUUUUUAUAAUCAACUGAAUAAACUGGAGAGAGACUGUUCUGGGCACUAUGUUUAUCUGGGAAAAGUUUGACAUAUCAAU